UGAGGAAUAUUGCACAAUGGACGAAAGUCUGAUGCAGCCAUGCCGCGUGCAGGAUGACUGCCCUAUGGGUUGUAAACUGCUUUUAUAUAGGAAGAAACUUUUCUACGUGUAGAAAACUGACGGUACUAUAAGAAUAAGGACCGGCUAACUCCGUGCCAGCAGCCGCGGUAAUACGGAGGGUCCAAGCGUUAUCCGGAUUCAUUGGGUUUAAAGGGUCCGUAGGCAAAAGAUUAAGUCAGUAAUGAAAGCCUACAGCUCAACUGUAGAACUACCAUUGAAACUGAUUUUCUUGAAUAUAGAUGAAGUGGGCGGAAUAUAUCAUGUAGCGGUGAAAUGCAUAGAUAUGAUAUAGAACACCGAUUGCGAAGGCAGCUCACUAAACUAUUAUUGACGCUGAGGGACGAAAGCGUGGGGAGCGAACAGG
rnacentral:rRNA from 1 species